rnacentral:misc_RNA from 1 species
UUUAAUAACAAUCGGUAUGUUGCUUUUGUGACAUUUUUCGGAGUUGGGUCAUCUUAAUCUUUUAAGGGACUUAAAAUUGAUGUUUUCGCGUAUCUUGACGUGUAUAAUUUUUUAUCUCGUCACUGGAUGCCGGGGUAUUAUUAGGUGUGACUAUGCUAAGUGGUUUCAUGCCUAUAGGAUUCUUGA